rnacentral:rRNA from 1 species
UACGAAGGGGGCUAGCGUUGUUCGGAUUUACUGGGCGUAAAGCGCACGUAGGCGGAUUGUUAAGUCGGGGGUGAAAUCCUGGAGCUCAACUCCAGAAUUGCCUUCGAUACUGGCUUUCUAGAGGCUGGAAGAGGUUAGUGGAAUUCCCAGUGUAGAGGUGAAAUUCGUAGAUAUUGGGAAGAACACCAGUCGCGAAGGCGGCUAACUGGUCCAGAUCUGACGCUGAGGUGCGAAAGCGUGGGGAGCAAACAGG